CUUCCAUUCAGUUCUCUUCUCUGUCAUAAAACUUCUUCUCUUCUCUGCCGUAAAAUUCCUUCAAGAAACAUGAAAUCGUCUCAUUCAGUUCAGAUUCACUAAUCCCCAAUUUUCCUCUUUCGUUAAUUGUCGGUGUUGUUUCUGAUUCUGUUGCACUACUAAUCGUUCUGAGCUACAUUUGAAACGUUGAAAGAUUAGACAACACUACUAAUCGUUCUGAGCUACAUUUGUUGAGUUCAACGAGGCAGUGUUCAGCAGUGAGGUGAACAAGUUGAAGGCAAAUCAAUUUAAGUCAUUUGAGUAAGUUCUAUUUUGUUUUAAUUACGCUUCUUUGUCUUAGGGCCUGCUUAGUUUUUUAAAAUUAUUUUUAAUACUUUGAGUUCAUGUUUAUUUUAAUUAGUACAUACAAGUAUACAACA